rnacentral:rRNA from 1 species
GACGAACGCUGGCGGCGUGCUUAACACAUGCAAGUCGAACGGAAAGGCCCUGCUUUUGUGGGGUGCUCGAGUGGCGAACGGGUGAGUAACACGUGAGUAACCUGCCCUGGACUUUGGGAUAACUUCAGGAAACUGGGGCUAAUACCGGAUAGGAGCUCCUGCUGCAUGGUGGGGGUUGGAAAGUUUCGGCGGUUGGGGAUGGACUCGCGGCUUAUCAGCUUGUUGGUGGGGUAGUGGCUUACCAAGGCUUUGACGGGUAGCCGGCCUGAGAGGGUGACCGGCCACAUUGGGACUGAGAUACGGACCAGACUCCUACGGGAGGCAGCAGUGGGGAAUAUUGCACAAUGGGCGGAAGCCUGAUGCAGCAACGCCGCGUGCGGGAUGACGGCCUUCGGGUUGUAAACCGCUUUCGCCUGUGACGAAGCGUGAGUGACGGUAAUGGGUAAAGAAGCACCGGCUAACUACGUG